UGGGGAGCCAGCCAGGCCAACGGGAUGCCACUUCUGGAAGCAGUCAUCUUCUCCUGUCUCUGGGCCUUUGGCCUUGGGCAGGUGAAGUUAGAGCAACCUGAAAUAUCAAUUUCCAGAACAAGAGAUGAGAGUGCCCACAUAUUAUGCAAGGUGUCCACUAAGGACUUUACCAAUGCAGUCAUACAUUGGUACUGGCAGAAACCACAUCAGGAGAUAGAACAUCUAGGAUUGGUCCAAGCAAUCUCUAUUCAAGUUUCUUUAGGUGGGAAGAAAAACAAACUUGAAGCAACUAAAAAUGCUAUUACUUCUACUUCAACCUUGAAGGUAAAUUUCUUACAGCAAGAAGAUGAGGCCAUGUACUACUGUGCCUGCUGGAGGGGAACCACAGCAUCAGAGUUGUUAGGCAAAGCUACCCAAGAACCAUCUUCAGAUCUGACCCACCCACAUCCUUCUCAAUAUGGGCAACCACAAAGGCUGCAUAGCUGA